rnacentral:rRNA from 1 species
AACGAACGCUGGCGGCAUGCCUAACACAUGCAAGUCGAACGAGACCUUCGGGUCUAGUGGCGCACGGGUGCGUAACGCGUGGUAACCUGCCCUUAGGUUCGGAAUAACUCCCCGAAAGGGGUGCUAAUACCGGAUAAUGUCUUCGGACCAAAGAUUUAUCGCCUUUGGAUGGGCCCGCGUUUGAUUAGCUAGUUGGUAGGGUAAAAGCCUACCAAGGCGACGAUCCAUAGCUGGUCUGAGAGGAUGAUCAGCCACACUGGGACUGAGACACGGCCCAGACUCCUACGGGAGGCAGCAGUGGGGAAUAUAGGAAAAUGGGCGAAAGCCUGAUCCAGCAAUGCCGCGUGAGUGAUGAAGGCCUUAGGGUAGUAAAGCUCUUUUACCCGGGAUGAUAAUGACAGUACCGGGAGAAUAAGCUCCGGCUAACUCCGUG